rnacentral:rRNA from 1 species
AUAGACUUNGCGCGGCAUGCUUUACACAUGCAAGUCGAACGGCAUGCGCGGGCUUCGGCCUGGCGGCGAGUGGCGAACGGGUGAGUAAUAUAUCGGAACGUACCCAGUAAGUGGGGGAUAACGUAGCGAAAGUUACGCUAAUACCGCAUACGAUCUACGGAUGAAAGCAGGGGACCUUCGGGCCUUGUGCUUUUGGAGCGGCCGAUAUCUGAUUAGCUAGUUGGUGAGGUAAGAGCUCACCAAGGCGACGAUCAGUAGCUGGUCUGAGAGGACGACCAGCCACACUGGAACUGAGACACGGUCCAGACUCCUACGGGAGGCAGCAGUGGGGAAUUUUGGACAAUGGGGGCACCUGAUCCAGCAUGCCGCGUGAGUGAAGAAGGCCUUCGGGUUGUAAAGCUCUUUUGUCAGGGAAGAAAAAGCGAUGGCUAAUAUCCAUCGCUGCUGACGGUACCUGAAGAAUAAGCACCGGCUAACUACGUGCCAGCAGCCGCGGUAAUACGUAGGGUGCAAGCGUUAAUCGGAAUUACUGGGCGUAAAGCGUGCGCAGGCGGUUUCGUAAGUCUGAUGUGAAAUCCCCGGGCUCAACCUGGGAAUUGCAUUGGAGACUGCGAGGCUAGAAUCUGGCAGAGGGGGGUAGAAUUCCACGUGUAGCAGUGAAAUGCGUAGAGAUGUGGAGGAACACCGAUGGCGAAGGCAGCCCCCUGGGUCAAGAUUGACGCUCAUGCACGAAAGCGUGGGGAGCAAACAGGAUUAGAUACCCUGGUAGUCCACGCCCUAAACGAUGUCUACUAGUUGUCGGGUUUUAAUUAACUUGGUAACGCAGCUAACGCGUGAAGUAGACCGCCUGGGGAGUACGGUCGCAAGAUUAAAACUCAAAGGAAUUGACGGGGACCCGCACAAGCGGUGGAUGAUGUGGAUUAAUUCGAUGCAUCGCGAAAACACCUUACCUACCCUUGACAUGUCAGGAAGUCCGGAGAGAUCUGGAUGUGCCCGAAAGGGAGCCUGAACACAGGUGCUGCAUGGCUGUCGUCAGCUCGUGUCGUGAGAUGUUGGGUUAAGUCCCGCAACGAGCGCAACCCUUGUCAUUAGUUGCUACGCAAGAGCACUCUAAUGAGACUGCCGGUGACAAACCGGAGGAAGGUGGGGAUGACGUCAAGUCCUCAUGGCCCUUAUGGGUAGGGCUUCACACGUCAUACAAUGGUACAUACAGAGGGCCGCCAACCCGCGAGGGGGAGCUAAUCCCAGAAAGUGUAUCGUAGUCCGGAUUGUAGUCUGCAACUCGACUACGUGAAGUUGGAAUCCGCUAGUAAUCGCGGAUCAGCAUGCCGCGGUGAAUACGUNCCCCGGUCUUGUACACACCGCCCGUUCACACCAUGGGAGCGGGUUUUACCANAAGUAGGUACCUUAACCGUAAGGAGGGCGCUUACCACCGGUAGGAUUCGUGACUGGGGUGAAAGUCCUAAACAAGGUACCCCAAGGGCNAAUUCCAACCACACUGGGCGGCCUUUACCUANUUGGAUUCAACCUUCGGUACCCA